rnacentral:rRNA from 1 species
AUGAUUAAGGCUGUUGCACAGGCAAUACCUACUUAUAUUAUUGGUGUCUUCAAGCUUCCUAUGUCAGUCUGUGAUGAUCUGAACAGAAUUGUUCGUAAUUUUUGGUGAGGUUCACCGGAGGGCAAGAGAAACACACACUGGAUGGCAUAGCCGAAAAUUCAGGCACAGAAAAACAAGGGUGGACUGGGGUUCAGAGACUUCCGCCUCUUUAACCAGGCUCUCCUAGCACAGGCAUGUCGCUUACUAACUAAACCCAACAGCUUAUGCGCGCAGGUUCUCAAGGCCUGGUACUACCAUGACGAACGCCUUGAGGAUACGGUGUUCUCGAGGAAUGCCUCCCCGACCUGGCAGGCUAUUCAGCACGACCUGGAGCUCUUGAAGAAGGGCAUCAUAUGGCCUGUCGCGGAUGGCCAGGACAUCCGCAUAUGGCGCGACCGCUGGCUUCCUAGGGAGCGCUCGUGCCAGCCCAUCACGCAGCAGGGCACCUGUCACCUAAGGAGGGUGGCCGAGCUCCUGGAUGGUGGUGGGUCCUGGCGCACAGACCUCCUCCGCCGCCACUUCCUCCCAACGGACAUCGAUGUGAUCACCAGCAUCCGCACCUCGCCGCACGUCACCGACGACAUCAUUGCCUGGGUGCUAGAGAAGAAUGAUAUCUUCACCGUUCGGUCUGCCUAUCGCCUUGCCAUGGACGAGCACGAGCGUCCAUUGGCUACCGCCAUGAGCAGGGCACCGGAUGGUCGUCGCGCCAUCUAG